ACAUGGACAAAGGAGAUCCUAAGAAGCCCAGAGUCAAAAUGUUAUCAUAAACUUUUUGGUGCAAAGUUGUUGGGAGAAGCACAAGAAGAAGCACCAAAUGUUUUAGUCAGCAUUUUGGAAAUUUCUGAAACAUGCUUUUAAGUGUAGAAGAACAGAUCUAAACAGAAAAGAAAUUUGAAAGCAUAGCAAAGGUGAACAAGGACCAUUAUGAAAGAGGAAUGAAAAUUCAUAUUUUUCCCAAAGGAGAAAGAAACAAAAAAUCCAA
rnacentral:lncRNA from 1 species